UUUUUUCCCCUUUAAAAAAAUUGUAAAAUUUUACAAAUAGUGAAUGCGUAAAAAGUCUAAGUGAAUACAUUUUACACAUUAUAUCCAUAACCUUGAAAUUAAAUUGCAAAAUAACAAAAGGAAACCAAAUGUUGCUUUAAGUAUGUACGAGCGUUUUCUUCAUAAAAAAAAAAAUGUUUCUUCGAAUAUUGCUUUCAAACAAAAUUUUUGCCAAGAAUAAACGCUAAAUAAUCAAAAUAUGACUAAGAAUGUAUCACUUAACCAAACAGAUUCUAUUUCUUGCAGGAAAAAAAAAACACCCUUAGUUUUGGCUGGCAAUUGCCUAAAAUUGACGCAAGAUUUACAAUGGGGUAGGGGAAGGUUGUGUCACGUAUCUAUGAAAGUAGAUCAGUCACACAUUCGCGAGAUAAGCCUGCAUCGGUUUACACAGUCUUCCUGUAAUUUGAUAUUUAUUGGGAUAAGAUAGAGUGGAAAUGUUGGCGGAGUUGAAGAAUCAUACAAAAAUGACGAAACAUAAAAAUUUCAAUUACUGCAUUACUUUUUGGACUUAUUGUAUUAGACUUACGUCGCCAUGAUAUGAAAUAAAGAUGAUAAAAUA